CUGCUCAUGAGUAUUAAAUAGCCGCAGUACUUUGACUGUGCUAAGGUAGCAUAAUCAAUUGUCUUUUAAUUGGGGACUAGAAUGAAUGAAUUUAUGGUUAAAUACUUUAUUCAUAUGUUUAUUUAAAAAUUUUUUUAUUAGGUGAAAAGACCUAAAAAAUUAUAUUAGACGAGAAGACCCCAGGAAUUUAUAUUAUUUUUUAUUGGGGCGAUAACUAAACAUCUUAAACUUUAGUUUUUAUUUAUACAACGAAAUAAUUUUAAUGAAGAAUAAAUUACCCUGGGGAUAACAGCAUAAUUUUUUUUAAAGAUUGUGACCUCGAUGUUGGAUUAGAAAAUAUUUUACUUAAAGAGUAAGAGUUAUUGUUCUGUUCGAACACUUUUAAUUUCUACGUGAUCUGA
rnacentral:rRNA from 1 species